GAUGAACGCUGGCGGCGUGCCUAAUACAUGCAAGUCGAGCGAACAGACGAGGAGCUUGCUCCUCUGACGUUAGCGGCGGACGGGUGAGUAACACGUGGAUAACCUACCUAUAAGACUGGGAUAACUUCGGGAAACCGGAGCUAAUACCGGAUAAUAUAUUGAACCGCAUGGUUCAAUAGUGAAAGACGGUUUUGCUGUCACUUAUAGAUGGAUCCGCGCCGCAUUAGCUAGUUGGUAAGGUAACGGCUUACCAAGGCAACGAUGCGUAGCCGACCUGAGAGGGUGAUCGGCCACACUGGAACUGAGACACGGUCCAGACUCCUACGGGAGGCAGCAGUAGGGAAUCUUCCGCAAUGGGCGAAAGCCUGACGGAGCAACGCCGCGUGAGUGAUGAAGGUCUUCGGAUCGUAAAACUCUGUUAUUAGGGAAGAACAAAUGUGUAAGUAACUAUGCACGGCUUGACGGUACCUAAUCAGAAAGCCACGGCUAACUACGUG
rnacentral:rRNA from 1 species